UAUACUUUAGUAUAUGAUGUACGAAAAUUUUUGAUGUUUUUAGGAAUAGUUUAAUUCUAUUAAGUAUAA
rnacentral:tRNA from 1 species